UUUGGUAAAGGUGAUGCCUCUUUAGUUUGUUUAUGAAUUCUUCAAUGUUGCAAUUAUUGUCAAUUUGUUUUUCUCCUCUUUUGGUAUCUUUUUUUUACGUGUCAUGUUUUUUUAUUCUUAUUAUUAAUGAUAGUAUUUUUUUAAAAUAGUAUUAAUUAAAAUCUCAAAAAAUUAUACUAACAUGUUUGGUUCAUUAAGCACUUUCUUG
rnacentral:lncRNA from 1 species